UCGUAACAAGGUUUCCGUAGGUGAACCUGCGGAAGGAUCAUUACCCUUCCAUCAGGGGAACGGGAACCAGCAGGCUAGGCUUUGGCUGAACCUUGCUGGGCUUCUGAUCCUCUUGAUUCUACCCAUGUUUUUUGCGCACUAUUUGUUUCCUUGGCGGGCUUGCCUGCCAAUUGGACUUACCAAAACCUCAUGCAAUUGCAGUCAGUGUCAGUAACAAUGUAAUUAUUACAACUUUCAACAACGGAUCUCUUGGUUCUGGCAUCGAUGAAGAACGCAGCGAAAUGCGAUAAGUAGUGUGAAUUGCAGAAUUCAGUGAAUCAUCGAAUCUUUGAACGCACAUUGCGCCCCUUGGUAUUCCAUGGGGCAUGCCUGUUCGAGCGUCAUUUGUACCCUCAAGCUUUGCUUGGUGUUGGGCGUCUGUUCUCCCUCCGGGGGGGACUUGCCUUAAAACAAUUGGCAGCCGGCAUAUUGGCCUGGAGCGCAGCACAAUUUGCGCCUCUCGUCAUGUUUGUUAGCACCCAUCAAGACCUUUUAUCAGCUCUUGACCUCGGAUCAGGUAGGGAUACCCGCUGAACUUAAGCAUAUCAU
rnacentral:misc_RNA from 1 species